rnacentral:rRNA from 1 species
CUGAUGUUAGCGGCGGACGGGUGAGUAACACGUGGGUAACCUACCUAUAAGACUGGGAUAACUUCGGGAAACCGGAGCUAAUACCGGAUAACAUUUGGAACCGCAUGGUUCUAAAGUGAAAGAUGGUUUUGCUAUCACUUAUAGAUGGACCCGCGCCGUAUUAGCUAGUUGGUAAGGUAACGGCUUACCAAGGCGACGAUACGUAGCCGACCUGAGAGGGUGAUCGGCCACACUGGAACUGAGACACGGUCCAG